rnacentral:misc_RNA from 1 species
GAUGAAGAACGUAGCGAAAUGCGAUACUUGGUGUGAAUUGCAGAAUCCCGUGAACCAUCGAGUCUUUGAACGCAAGUUGCGCCCGAAGCCACUAGGCCGAGGGCACGCCUGCCUGGGCGUCACACGCCGUUGCCCCCCCAUCUACUCCUUCGGGAUUGCGGGGGGGCGGAUGAUGGCCUCCCGUGCGCCUAGCCGCGCGGUUGGCAUAAAUACCAAGUCCUCGGCGACGCACGCCACGACAAUCGGUGGUUGCGAAACCUCGGUUGCCCGUCGUGUGCGUUCGUCGCGCAUCGAGGGCGCAAAAAAAUGCUCGGCUCCGGCUGGGCUUUCAACGCGACCCCAGGUCAGGCGGGGUUACCCGCUGAAUUUAAGCAUAUCAAUAAGCGGAGGA